rnacentral:rRNA from 1 species
GCACCACAAGAACGCGUGGAGCAUGUGGCUUAAUUUGACUCAACGCGGGAAAUCUUACCAGGUCCGGACACACUGAGGAUUGACAGGAAGUAUCGUCUUUUGAAUUCUUUAAGGAUAUGUCGUUUUUAAUGACAUCUUUUAGAUGGAUGAUUCGUGUAAAUAUGCUAGUUCUUUCAUGAUUAUGUGAUAGGUGGUGCAUGGCCGUUCUUAGUUCGUGGAGUGAUCUGUCUGCUUAAUUGCGUUUCACUAAGGCCCCAAAGUUAGCAAAUUAUCAAUCGUUACAGAGUCGACCCCUCACCUUUGAGUGCGCGUCCUAACUUGUAGUACAUGGUGUAAAUGGAUUUGUUUUGGGUACCCAAAUAGCA